rnacentral:rRNA from 1 species
UACGUAGGGUGCAAGCGUUGUCCGGAAUUAUUGGGCGUAAAGAGCUCGUAGGCGGUUCGUCGCGUCGGCUGUGAAAACCUGAGGCUCAACCUCAGGCCUGCAGUCGAUACGGGCGGACUUGAGUACUGCAGGGGAGACUGGAAUUCCUGGUGUAGCGGUGAAAUGCGCAGAUAUCAGGAGGAACACCGGUGGCGAAGGCGGGUCUCUGGGCAGUAACUGACGCUGAGGAGCGAAGCGUGGGGAGCGAACAGG